rnacentral:rRNA from 1 species
UACCAGCACCCCGAGUGGUCGGGACGAUUAUUGGGCCUAAAGCAUCCGUAGCCGGUUUUACAAGUCCUCCGUUAAAUCCACCUGCUUAACAGAUGGGCUGCGGAGGAUACUAUGGAGCUAGGAGGCGGGAGAGGCAAGCGGUACUUAGUGGGUAGGGGUAAAAUCCGUUGAUCCAUUGAAGACCACCAGUGGCGAAGGCGGCUUGCCAGAACGCACUCGACGGUGAGGGAUGAAAGCUGGGGGAGCAACCGGG